rnacentral:rRNA from 1 species
UACGUAGGGUGCGAGCGUUAAUCGGAAUUACUGGGCGUAAAGCGUGCGCAGGCGGCGCGUUAAGACAGGUGUGAAAUCCCCGGGCUUAACCUGGGAAUGGCGUUUGAAACUACGGAGCUGGAGUGUGGCAGAGGGAGGUAGAAUUCCACGUGUAGCGGUGAAAUGCGUAGAUAUGUGGAGGAAUACCGAUGGCGAAGGCAGCCUCCUGGGCCAACACUGACGCUCAUGCACGAAAGCGUGGGGAGCAAACAGG